rnacentral:lncRNA from 10 species
ACAUAGCGAGACAGGAAGGAGGCCUCACAGAACCACCCCUGACAGCACCUUGAUCUUCGACUUCCAGGCUCCAGAACUGAAUACAGCAGAGUGACUAUUCCAGUUUGAAAGGACAUUCAAGAGCACAAAAGACCAGUGACUUCUGGGGAUAUUUCCUGAUGUUCUUGGCACUUUUACAAUUUCUGCUGUUUUUCCUUUUUUACGUAAAUCCUCCCCUAGUAACCAGCAUGGGGUAUUUCUGAAGUUCAUUUAGUGCCAUUUUUCUGUAUUGUCCAACAGAUUGUUUCUAGUACCUUCUGAUGUGUGGCAGCUGUGUUUUAACAAUUCCAAGUAUACCAUAUGAAAGUAAUCAAAGACAUUAACACACUAGUGUCCGCAGCUCUAGGGGUAUUUCCUGCAUGUGGUACUGGUAGGCCAUGUGAAGUUGUACAUAAAUUACUUUGUUUUGUUUUUUUGGUUUGGGGUAUUUUUUUGCUUGUUUUGUUUUGUUCUUAGCAUGCUGAAGUGUUCUCUAAAUAUAUGUGAACUCAUCACAUGCUUGUAUUUGUGGAUCCAUGAUUCUGUGGACAUAGCUAGCUACAAAGAGCAUCAUACAAAAAUCAGCAUUCAAGUAUAAUGUUUACAGAGCAUAGAAUAUUUCACAUAUUAAUCUGUGCAAAGUGAUCUCAGAUUCCCAAAGGAGGAAAUAGUUAAAGUUUAGUGUUUUCUCUGAUAUAGUGUACCCUGGGUAGGGCAGUAAUGGCUAACUACAUAACAUCCUAAUGUAAGCAGUUAUUGGGAAAUGUUUCACAUACAGUAUUUUAUUAUAGUAAGAUUGCACUGUACUUAAAGUAAAUAUCCCUGGAUCCCCUCCAAAGCUGAAAGAAUGUAGUUAGGUUACAGAAUCUGCUCACUCAGCAAUCUGUCUUAUAAUAAAUUAGGGUUUUGAAAAAAGGGCUGUUUUGUUUAUCACAAAAGGUAGGGAGAAGUAAAGAGUAACCUGAAAAAAGUAUACUUUCAAAGUUUGUCAAUAAGGCAGUAGGUUGUACAAUCUUGAAAGAAUGGAUAAUCAUAUGUACAUUGUAUUACCUCACUGAUUGCAAUAUCGAUUAUAUCAUAUAAGCAAAGUAGCCAAGGAUGAAGCUUAGAAAUUAAAUAUCCAGAUGUGACAGGUGCCAUCAUAAGUCGUAUUUUAAGAUUUAAGUCUAGCUUAUCGUAUAUACAAUUUCAC